GAAGCCGGAAUUGCUAGUAAUGGCAGGUCAGCAUACUGCCGUGAAUACGUUCCCGGGCCUUGUACACACCGCCCGUCACACCAUGAGAGUUGGGAAUACCCGAAGCCUGUGAGCCAACUUUAAAAGAGGCAGCAGUCGAAGGUAGAAUCAAUGAUUGGGGUGAAGUCGUAACAAGGUACC
rnacentral:rRNA from 1 species